GAUGAACGCUGGCGGCGUGCUUAACACAUGCAAGUCGAACGGAAAGACCCCAGCUUGCUGGGGUACUCGAGUGGCGAACGGGUGAGUAACACGUGGGUGAUCUGCCCUGCACUUCGGGAUAAGCUAGGGAAACUGGGUCUAAUACCGAAUAUGACCACUUCUUGGAUGUUGUGGUUGACAGCUUUUGCGGUGUGGGAUGAGCCUGCGGCCUAUCAGCUUGUUGGUGGGGUAAUGGCCUACCAAGGCGGCGACGGGUAUCCGGCCUGAGAGGGUGUACGGACACAUUGGGACUGAGAUACGGCCCAGACUCCUACGGGAGGCAGCAGUGGGGAAUAUUGCACAAUGGGCGCAAGCCUGAUGCAGCGACGCCGCGUGGGGGAUGAAGGCCUUCGGGUUGUAAACUCCUUUCGCUAUCGACGAAGCCACUUGUGGUGACGGUAGGUAGAUAAGAAGCACCGGCUAACUACGUGCCAGCAGCCGCGGUAA
rnacentral:rRNA from 1 species